rnacentral:rRNA from 1 species
CUCCUUUAUCUAAUCAGUGAAACUAAUCUCCCCGUGAAGAAGCGAGGAUAACACUAUAAGACGAGAAGACCCCAUGGAGCUUUAAACCCAAAUAUAUCCCCAAUCCCUACAACCAUUUAAUCCUUUGGGUCCUAUAUACUUGGUUUUAGGUUGGGGCGACCACGGAGUAAAACUAAACCUCCAUGAUGUACGGAACAACCUCCUUAUCUAAGAGCCACAGCUCUAAGAAUUAGCACACUAUCAUAAAAUGACCCAUUAUUGAUCAACGAACCAAGUUACCCUGGGGAUAACAGCGCAAUCCAUUUUAAGAGCCCCUAUCGACAAAUGGGUUUACGA